rnacentral:rRNA from 1 species
GAUGAACGCUGGCGGCGUGCCUAAUACAUGCAAGUCGAGCGAACAGACGAGGAGCUUGCUCCCCUGACGUUAGCGGCGGACGGGUGAGUAACACGUGGAUAACCUACCUAUAAGACUGGGAUAACUUCGGGAAACCGAAGCUAAUACCGGAUAAUAUAUUGAACCGCAUGGUUCAAUAGUGAAAGACGGUUUUGCUGUCACUUAUAGAUGGAUCCGCGCCGCAUUAGCUAGUUGGUAAGGUAACGGCUUACCAAGGCAACGAUGCGUAGCCGACCUGAGAGGGUGAUCGGCCACACUGGAACUGAGACACGGUCCAGACUCCUACGGGAGGCAGCAGUAGGGAAUCUUCCGCAAUGGGCGAAAGCCUGACGGAGCAACGCCGCGUGAGUGAUGAAGGUCUUCGGAUCGUAAAACUCUGUUAUUAGGGAAGAACAAAUGUGUAAGUAACUAUGCACGUCUUGACGGUACCUAAUCAGAAAGCCACGGCUAACUACGUG